GACGAACGCUUGCGGCGUGCUUAACACAUGCAAGUCGAACGGAAAGGCCCUGCUUUUGUGGGGUGCUCGAGUGGCGAACGGGUGAGUAACACGUGAGUAACCUGCCCUUGACUUUGGGAUAACUUCAGGAAACUGGGGCUAAUACCGGAUAGGAGCUCCUGCUGCAUGGUGGGGGUUGGAAAGUUUCGGCGGUUGGGGAUGGACUCGCGGCUUAUCAGCUUGUUGGUGGGGUAGUGGCUUACCAAGGCUUUGACGGGUAGCCGGCCUGAGAGGGUGACCGGCCACAUUGGGACUGAGAUACGGCCCAGACUCCUACGGGAGGCAGCAGUGGGGAAUAUUGCACAAUGGGCGGAAGCCUGAUGCAGCAACGCCGCGUGCGGGAUGACGGCCUUCGGGUUGUAAACCGCUUUCGCCUGUGACGAAGCGUGAGUGACGGUAAUGGGUAAAGAAGCACCGGCUAACUACGUGCCAGCAGCCGCGGUGAUACGUAGGGUGCGAGCGUUGUCCGGAUUUAUUGGGCGUAAAGGGCUCGUAGGUGGUUGAUCGCGUCGGAAGUGUAAUCUUGGGGCUUAACCCUGAGCGUGCUUUCGAUACGGGUUGACUUGAGGAAGGUAGGGGAGAAUGGAAUUCCUGGUGGAGCGGUGGAAUGCGCAGAUAUCAGGAGGAACACCAGUGGCGAAGGCGGUUCUCUGGGCCUUUCCUGACGCUGAGGAGCGAAAGCGUGGGGAGCGAACAGGCUUAGAUACCCUGGUAGUCCACGCUGUAAACGGUGGGUACUAGGUGUGGGGUCCGUUCCACGGGUUCCGUGCCGUAGCUAACGCUUUAAGUACCCCGCCUGGGGAGUACGGCCGCAAGGCUAAAACUCAAAGGAAUUGACGGGGCCCCGCACAAGCGGCGGAGCAUGCGGAUUAAUUCGAUGCAACGCGUAGAACCUUACCUGGGUUUGACAUGGAUCGGGAGUGCUCAGAGAUGGGUGUGCCUCUUUUGGGGUCGGUUCACAGGUGGUGCAUGCCUGUCGUCAGCUCGUGUCGUGAGAUGUUGGGUUAAGUCCCGCAACGAGCGCAACCCUUGUUCACUGUUGCCAGCACGUUAUGGUGGGGACUCAGUGGAGACCGCCGGGGUCAACUCGGAGGAAGGUGGGGAUGACGUCAAGUCAUCAUGCCCCUUAUGUCCAGGGCUUCACGCAUGCUACAAUGGCUGGUACAGAGAGUGGCGAGCCUGUGAGGGUGAGCGAAUCUCGGAAAGCCGGUCUCAGUUCGGAUUGGGGUCUGCAACUCGACCUCAUGAAGUCGGAGUCGCUAGUAAUCGCAGAUCAGCAACGCUGCGGUGAAUACGUUCCCGGG
rnacentral:rRNA from 1 species